rnacentral:rRNA from 1 species
GACGAACGCUGGCGGCGUGCCUAAUACAUGCAAGUUGAGCGCUGAAGGUUGGUACUUGUACCAACUGGAUGAGCAGCGAACGGGUGAGUAACGCGUGGGGAAUCUGCCUUUGAGCGGGGGACAACAUUUGGAAACGAAUGCUAAUACCGCAUAAAAACUUUAAACACAAGUUUUAAGUUUGAAAUAUGCAAUUGCAUCACUCAAAGAUGAUCCCGCGUUGUAUUAGCUAGUUGGUGAGGUAAAGGCUCACCAAGGCGAUGAUACAUAGCCGACCUGAGAGGGUGAUAGGCCACAUUGGGACUGAGACACGGCCCAAACUCCUACGGGAGGCAGCAGUAGGGAAUAUUCGGCAAUGGACGAAAGUCUGACCGAGCAACGCCGCGUGAGUGAAGAAGGUUUUCGGAUCGUAAAACUCUGUUGGUAGAGAAGAACGUUGGUGAGAGUGGAAAGCUCAUCAAGUGACGGUAACUACCCAGAAAGGGACGGCUAACUACGUG